rnacentral:lncRNA from 1 species
CUACAGCAGAUGACUUCUGCCUGCAGCAUCAGUGUCCAAGGCACCCGACAAUAGUGGACUCAUCAGCAACCUCGAAAAUAUCCGAGCUUCUCUUAGAUUGCAGAGAUAGAGAGCCAUUCCGCUCCAUCAGACAUUCCAACCGAGCUUCAGCCGUCAGUCUUGAACUCUCUGGCAAAUUGCGACAGUGGCCACUAUCCCACUCCACUCUCUGUAACAGAUUUCACAUGGCCCCACCACUCUCUAGCA